rnacentral:rRNA from 1 species
ACCUGCCCACUGAAAAUUUAAAUGGCCGCAGUAUAUUAACUGUGCAAAGGUAGCAUAAUCAUUAGUCUUUUAAUUGAAGGCUGGAAUGAAUGGUUGGACGAGAUAUUAACUGUUUCAGAUAAAUUUAUUAAAGAACUUUAUUUUUUAGUCAAAAAGCUAAAAUUUUUUUAAAAGACGAGAAGACCCUAUAAAUCUUUAUAAUUUGUUUAUUAUAAUAAUAAAGAAUAAUUUUUUUAUAAUAAAUUAAAUUAUUUUAUUGGGGUGAUAUUAAAAUUUAAUAAACUUUUAAUGAGUUAAAUCAUUAAUUUAUGAAUUUUUGAUCCAAUUUUAUUGAUUAAAAAUUUAAGUUACUUUAGGGAUAACAGCGUAAUUUUUUUGGAGAGUUCAUAUCGAUAAAAAAGAUUGCGACCUCGAUGUUGGAUUAAGAGAUAAAUUUAGGUGUAGCGCUUAAAUGAUUAAGUCUGUUCGACUUUUAAAUUCUU